GCAUCCAGAGUGGCUGGCCACCAUGAAAAAGAACUAUCCCAAAUCCCAGGUUCCACCGAAGCAGACUGAAGCAAGGGUUGUCUGAGUGCUGUGUGUGUGUGUGUGUGUGUGUGUGUGCGUGUGUGACUGUAUAUACACACAUGUGCAUGUGUAACUGGAUAGCUCUGCUCACUAAGUCUGUAGGAGGGUUUUUGCCCAGAGUGGCUGGCCCUCCCUGCAGCACACAAUUGGUCUACCACAUCCUGCCCCUCCGCUUCCUCUGCUCCUUUCCCAGCUCAAGAAGCCAAGAUGGGAAGUCUCUCACGACCCUGUGGCUUGGCCAGGAGAAAGCCUGAACUUGAUACAGCUGCCUUGCCUGGGGCCUGCCCACAGAAAGUAGUGAGCUCAGCCCAGGUGUCCAAUCAUUUGGGAUUUGUGACCUGGUACCUUGGGUCUCCACUUCACAAAGGGGAAUCAGACAGGAAUGAGGAGGAACUACAGAAUCACAGCAGACACCAGCACAGCAAGGCCAAGCCAAAGCAAUGAGCCAAGUUUGAAGGACAAGUGACCAGUUUUGUUCUGGCAGGCUCAACAACACUGGGAAAAAAUUACAGUGUGUGCAUGGGAAACAGAUUCCUCCUUCCUCGACUAACUGACACACAGGAGAGCGGGCACAGCGAAGGGCAAUGGCGCUGCGGCUGAUAGAGCUGGAUACAUGGAAAAAUUUAAAUAGCAUCAAGGGCCUGGCCUACCCUGAAUCCAGGCAGGAAAUUCAAGGGUAAUAUAACACUUCGCUGUUAAGUAAUGCCACUGGAAUAAAAGCAUGUUCAGGAUGA